GCUAAAUAUUAUUUUAAAAUGAAAUUUUAAUAAUUUUACCCUAAAUAUUAUUAAUACACAUACUGCCAGAUAGGUUUUGUUUGGAUUGCUAAAUUUCUAUGAGAACACAAUACAUUUUAAUUUGGUUGGUGGAGUCUUCAGUCUUGUUUGGUGGGAGGAAAGACAAUUGCACUAAUUUUGUCUUGUUUUGAACAUUUUGAACCAAAGGGUGUAUAUUAAAUUUUGGUCAUUAUCAUUCUCAAAUUCAGUUGGGCUUACAAGCUUUUACUUCAUUAAUAUUUUAUAGUGGAAUGUUGGCCCAUGAAAAUUUGUGCUAGACUUAAAAUGAAAAACUAAUCAAUUCAGAUGAUAAGCACAUUAAUUUCAAAGGAGAUUGGUUCUAAUCUUGCUCCUGUUUUUUAAAGCCUAAUACCAUAAAAAAAUCUUUAUUUAUUGUGUUUUUUGAUAAUUUUUUCAAGAGUUUUUUUUUUU
rnacentral:misc_RNA from 1 species